CCAAAGGCUCUUUUCAGAGCCACUCACAAUGUCAAGCUAAGAGUUG
rfam:Chelonia mydas contig258333, whole genome shotgun sequence.